rnacentral:rRNA from 1 species
AGAGUUUGAUCCUGGCUCAGGACGAACGCUGGCGGCGUGCCUAAUACAUGCAAGUCGAGCGAACAGAGAAGGAGCUUGCUCCUUCGACGUUAGCGGCGGACGGGUGAGUAACACGUGGGCAACCUACCUUAUAGUUUGGGAUAACUCCGGGAAACCGGGGCUAAUACCGAAUAAUCUAUUUUACUUCAUGGUGAAAUACUGAAAGACGGCAUCUCGCUGUCGCUAUAAGAUGGGCCCGCGGCGCAUUAGCUAGUUGGUGAGGUAACGGCUCACCAAGGCGACGAUGCGUAGCCGACCUGAGAGGGUGAUCGGCCACACUGGGACUGAGACACGGCCCAGACUCCUACGGGAGGCAGCAGUAGGGAAUCUUCCACAAUGGGCGAAAGCCUGAUGGAGCAACGCCGCGUGAGUGAAGAAGGUUUUCGGAUCGUAAAACUCUGUUGUAAGGGAAGAACAAGUACAGUAGUAACUGGCUGUACCUUGACGGUACCUUAUUAGAAAGCCACGGCUAACUACGUGCCAGCAGCCGCGGUAAU